AUUGAACGCUGGCGGCAGGCCUAACACAUGCAAGUCGCACGAGUGGCGGACGGGUGAGUAAUGGAUGGGAAAAUGCAUGAUGGAGGGGGAUAAAUACUGGAAACGGUAGCUAAUACCGCAUACAAUCAGAGGAUCCCAGAUGGGAGUAGCUUGUUGGUGGGGUAACGGCUCACCAAGGCGACGAUCCCUAGCUGGUCUGAGAGGAUGACCAGCCACACGGGAACUGAGACACGGUCCAGACUCCUACGUGAGGCAGCAGUGGGGAAUAUUGCACAAUGGGCGCAAGCCUGAUGCAGCCAUGCCGCGUGUAUGAAGAAGGCCUUCUGGUUGUAAAGUACUUUCAGCGGGGAGGCGUUACCCGCAGAAGAAGCACCGGCUAACUCCGUGCCAGCCGCCGCGGUAAUAC
rnacentral:rRNA from 1 species